CUGGACAAGUCUGAUGUGAAAGGCUGGGGCUCAACCCCGGGACUGCAUUGGAAACUGCCCGUCUUGAGUGCCGGAGAGGUAAGCGGAAUUCCUAGUGUAGCGGUGAAAUGCGUAGAUAUUAGGAGGAACACCAGUGGCGAAGGCGGCUUACUGGACGGUAACUGACGUUGAGGCUCGAAAGCGUGGGGAGCAAACAGGAUUAGAUACCCUGGUAGUCCACGCGGUAAACGAUGAAUGCUAGGUGUCGGGUGACAAAGUCAUUCGGUGCCGCCGCAAACGCAUUAAGCAUUCCACCUGGGGAGUACGUUCGCAAGAAUGAAACUC
rnacentral:rRNA from 1 species